rnacentral:piRNA from 1 species
UGGUGUUAAUCCUGCAAGUGUGCAGAGUGA